rnacentral:rRNA from 1 species
AACAUUGGUCAUACCAUCCUGAAUGUACCUGAUCUCAUCUGAUCUCAAAAGCUAAGCCGGGUCAGGUCUGGUUAAUACUUGGAUAGGAGAAGAAUAAAAUUUUACUGAAAUAU